rnacentral:rRNA from 1 species
CGCGAUUCAGUUCUUCGGAAUUGAGUUGAGUGGCGCACGGGUGAGUAACACGUAGGUAAUCUACCUUUGGGUGGGGAAUAACAGCCGGAAACGGCUGCUAAUACCGCAUAAUGCAGCGGCAUCACAUGAUGACAGUUGUUAAAGCGGGGGAUCUUCGGAUCUCGCGCCUGAAGAGGAGCCUGCGGCAGAUUAGCUAGUUGGUAAGGUAAUGGCUUACCAAGGCGACGAUCUGUAGCCGGCCUGAGAGGGCGGUCGGCCACACUGACACUGACAUACGGGUCAGACUCCUACGGGAGGCAGCAGUCGGGAAUUUUGGGCAAUGGGCGAAAGCCUGACCCAGCAACGCCGCGUGAAGGAUGAAAUCCCUCGGGAUGUAAACUUCGCAAGAAUGGGAAGAAUUAGUAGGGGUUAAUACCCCCUAUGAUGACGGUACCAUUUGUAAGCUCCGGCUAACUCCGUGCCAGCAGCCGCGGUAAUACGGGGGGAGCAAGCGUUGUUCGGAUUUACUGGGCGUAAAGGGCGCGUAGGCGGCCAGCACAAGUCGGUUGUGAAAUCUCCGGGCUUAACUCGGAAAGGUCAACCGAUACUGUGCGGCUAGAGUGCGGAAGGGGCAACUGGAAUUCUCGGUGUAGCGGUGAAAUGCGUAGAUAUCGAGAGGAACACCUGCGGCGAAGGCGGGUUGCUGGGCCGACACUGACGCUGAUGCGCGAAAGCCAGGGGAGCGAACGGGAUUAGAUACCCCGGUAGUCCUGGCCUUAA